ncrna:unclassified sequences Actinomyces-1 RNA
AUUGCCGUCGGACGGGGCGGGUCCUGAGGGUUGGGGAACCCGGUGAGGGAUUCGCGUCGAGCGCUGCUGGGGUCCAAGGGAGCCCUGGUGGUGCGUUCCGGCGAAGGAG